GAUAAACGCUGGCGGCGUGCAUAACACAUUCAAGUCGAACGGACUUAAUGGAGAGCUUGCUCAAAAUUAAGUUAGUGGCGGACGGGUGAGUAACGCGUGAGCAACCUGCCUAUCAGUGGGGAAUAACGUUUGGAAACGAACGCUAAUACCGCAUAAUGUACAGAGAUCGCAUGUUUUUGUACCAAAGAUUUAUUGCUGAUAGAUGGGCUCGCGUCUGAUUAGGUAGUUGGUGAGGUAACGGCUCACCAAGCCGACGAUCAGUAGCCGGACUGAGAGGUUGAACGGCCACAUUGGAACUGAGAAACGGUCCAGACUCCUACGGGAGGCAGCAGUGGGGAAUAUUGGGCAAUGGGCGAAAAGCCUGACCCAGCGACGCCGCGUGAGGGAAGACGGUCUUCGGAUUGUAAACCUCUUUCAGCAGGGAAGACAAAAGGACGGUACCUGCAGAAGAAGACCACGGCUAACUACGUG
rnacentral:rRNA from 1 species